rnacentral:rRNA from 1 species
AUGAACGCUGGCGGCGUGCCUAACACAUGCAAGUCGAGCGGCAGCGAGGGGUGCUUGCACCCUGUCGGCGAGCGGCGGACGGCUGAGUAACGCGUGGGAACGUGCCCCAAAGUGAGGAAUAACUGCCCGAAAGGGUAGCUAAUACCGCAUAUUAUCUUCGGAUCAAAGGAUUUAUCCGCUUUGGGAGCGGCUCGCGUCGGAUUAGGUAGUUGGUGAGGUAAUGGCUCCCCAAGCCGACGAUCCGUAGCUGGUCUGAGAGGAUGACCAGCCAGACUGGAACUGAGACACGGUCCAGACUCCUACGGGAGGCAGCAGUGAGGAAUCUUCCACAAUGGGCGAAAGCCUGAUGGAGCAACGCCGCGUGCAGGACGAAGGCCUUCGGGUUGUAAACUGCUUUUAUAAGUGAGGAAUAUGACGGUAACUUAUGAAUAAGGAUCGGCUAACUACGUG